rnacentral:rRNA from 1 species
CCUACGGGCGGCAGCAGUCGAGAAUUAUUCACAAUGGGGGAAACCCUGAUGGUGCGACGCCGCGUGGGGGAAUGAAGGUCUUCGGAUUGUAAACCCCUGUCAUGUGGGAGCAAAUUAAAAAGAUAGUACCACAAGAGGAAGAGCCGGCUACCUCUGUGCCAGCAGCCGCGGUAAUACAGAGGUCUCAAGCGUUGUUCGGAAUCACUGGGCGUAAAGCGUGCGUAGGCUGUUUCGUAGGUCGUGUGUGAAAGGCGCGGGCUCAACCCGCGGACGGCACAUGAUACUGCGAGACUAGAGUAAUGGAGGGGGAACCGGAAUUCUCGGUGUAGCAGUGAAAUGCGGAGAUAGCGAGAGGAACACUCGUGGCGAAGGCGGGUUCCUGGACAUUAACUGACGCUGAGGCACGAAGGCCAGGGGAGCGAAAGGGAUUAGAUACCCCUGUAGUC